AUCUGUGGACCUCAAUGUUGAUCCCUUGCUUUAGACUGAUAUUCCUGAUGCACUCAGUGAGAGAGAUAAGGUCAAAUUUACAGUGCGCACAAAGGCCACAUUGCCCAUGUUUCAGAGCCCAGAGUUUUCUGUUACAAGGCAAUAUGAAGACUUUGUGUGGCUAUGUGACACUCUUACUGAAAGAACAGACUACAUUAGGCUUAUUAUUCCACCUGCUCCUACGAAGCCUGACUUCGAUGGUCCUCGAGAGAAGAUGCAGAAACUGGGAGAAGGGAAAGGGUCUAUGAUCAAAGAAAAAUUUGCCAAGAUGAAACAAGAACUGGAAGCUCAGUAUCUUGCUGUUUUUAAGAAGUCUAUAUCCUCCCAUGAAGUCUUUCUUCAGUGGCUUUCUUUCUUCAGUUCUCAGUAAAGAUUGCAACUUUCAUGUUUUCCUGGAAUAUGAUCAGGAUCUAAGUGUUAGGUGGAAAAAUACUAAAGAGAUGUUUGGUGGCUUCUUCAAAAGUAUGGUGAAAAGUGCUGAAGAAGUCCUUUUUACUGGAGUUAAGGAGGUAGAUGACUUCUUUGAGCAAGAGAAGAACUUCCUUAUUAACUAUUACAAUAGAAUCAAAGAUUCUUGUGUGAAAGCUGACAUAAUGACCAGAUUUCAUAAAAAUGUUGCCAAUGACUAUAUCCACACUGCAGCCUGCUUACAUAGCCUGGCUUUAGAAGAGCCCACAGUCAUCAAAAAGUACCUAUUGAAGGUUGCUGAGCUAUUUGAAAAACAGGAAAGUAGAGGGUCGAGUCUCAUCAGAUGAAGAUUUAAAGCUAACAGAGUUCCUCCAAUACUACAUGCUCAACAUCAAAGCUGCUAAGGAUCUCUUAUACAGAUACACCAAAGCCCUCAUGGACUAUGAGAACUCAAACAAAGCUCUGAAUAAGGCCUGGUUAAAGAGCAAAGACAUCAAGAUGGCUGAGGCACACCAGCAGAAGUGCUGCCGGAAAUUUGAACAACUUUCUGGAUCUGCAAAAGAAGGAACUGAUAAAUUUCAAAUCAAAGAGAGUGGCAGCAUUUAGAAAGAAUCUAAUUGAAAUGUCUGAACUGGAAAUCAAACAUGCUAGGAACAAUGUCUCUCUUUUGCAGAGUUGUAUUGACUUGUUCAAGAAUAACUGAUAUGCCUUCACUCUGAAGAAAAGAAAUGAAUGUGAAAGAAAGCCAAGCAUCACUUGCACUUAAAUCAUUACCAUGGAAGAUUUAUUAGCUUCAACUUUAGUUUAAAGUUAUAUGAAUAAAUAUUUUGAUUU